ACUCCUACGGGAGGCAGCAGUGGGAAUAUUGCACAAUGGGCGCAAGCCUGAUGCAGCGACGCCGCGUGGGGGAUGACGGCCUUCGGGUUGUAAACUCCUUUCGCUAGGGACGAAGCGUAUUUGUGACGGUACCUGGAGAAGAAGCACCGGCUAACUACGUGCCAGCAGCCGCAGUAAUMCGUAGGGUGCGAGCGUUGUCCGGAAUUACUGGGCGUAAAGAGCUCGUAGGUGGUUUGUCGCGUCGUUUGUGUAAGCCCGCAGCUUAACUGCGGGACUGCAGGCGAUACGGGCAUAACUUGAGUGCUGUAGGGGAGACUGGAAUUCCUGGUGUAGCGGUGGAAUGCGCAGAUAUCAGGAGGAACACCGAUGGCGAAGGCAGGUCUCUGGGCAGUAACUGACGCUGAGGAGCGAAAGCAUGGGUAGCGAACAGGAUUAGAUACCCUGGUAGUCCAUGCCGUAAACGGUGGGCGCUAGGUGUGAGUCCCUUCCACGGGGUUCGUGCCGUAGCUAACGCAUUAAGCGCCCCSCCUGGGGRGUACGGCCGCAAGACUAAAACUCAAAGGAAUUGACGWKGWUCC
rnacentral:rRNA from 1 species